UUAGAGCAAAAGAGAGGGACAUUCGGCCUCUAUAAAAAAAAAUGUUGGGCUCAAAUCUUUGGCUCAAAAUUCAUCUCUUGUGAAUUCCUACUAAGCCCGGAACUCUCUUCAACGUGGUAUAAACUUUGAGGCAAGAAAGUACUUUUUUUACAAAGUGGAGAAUUUGGAAAAGAGAUUGGAGAGCCCGAGACUUGAUUCGGAAAUUGAUUAGCGAGCGAUCGAGGUAUGUAAAGCCUAUCGUUCCUUCUUUUUUGGCAUGAUCCUUUUUGGAAGAAACAAAAUGUAUAUGUAUGCUUAUAAGGAAAAUCCUAUUCUUAGAGCCACUAGGUUGGCUAACAUCUUUGACCUCCAUAAGCUAUCCCACAUGGCUGGAUACAUAUUCUAUGAUGUUCAAAGAUUUUAUUUGUUAUGUUUCGAAUGUUGUUCGAAAGAAAAACGAGAAGACUAAAGCCUUUGAUGAAUAUUUCGAUAUGAAAAUAUGGUCUUAAAGUCCCCAUUUGAUUUGAUCCAUAAUGCUAUCUGCAAGUUUCCUAGUAUGAAUAUGGGAUCCACAAUGAUGUCCGAAAAAUAUUUGAUAUGGCCAAAGUUUGGAUAUGUAUAUUUUGGAUAGGUGCAUAUGAUUCUAAAGCUCCGUUUGAAGUGCUCCAUAAUGUUAUUUGAAAGCUUCUUAAUAUAAAUGGUACUCGAAUUUCUAAGUAUGACUUAUGAAAUAUUUUCAGAAAAUGACCUAUGAUGUGUUUUUCGAAAGUUUUGUAAUUUGAAAGUUCGUAACUUUUGUAUACAAAUUCCGAUGGACUCGAUGCUUACCUUGAGCCUUCUAAUAUCAGUAUGUAUAUGUAUUUAUUCGUCGAGUCUUGGAAUUCAUUUAAAUAUGUAUAUGCAUAUGGUUUCCGCACUACUCUGCUCGUGCCUACUACUAUGAUAUCGUUCGCCGGAUCCCGGGCCGGUUUUGUGAUCGUGCGCACUAUGUUAUAUUCGGCAGUAUGAUGUGUUACGGUUCCCGAGACCUCGCCAUAGGGCCGGGUUCCGCUUAUAUAUAUACGGCGUUAUGAUGUGAUAUGGCAUAUGAUAUGUUCUGAUGUUUUGAUAUGAUAUGAUGAUAUGAUAUGUUUGGGGAUUGUACGGAGAUUUGAAACCUUCUGGAGUAUGAUGUGUUGUGGCGCCAGCGUCGGAGUGGUGACCACGUUCCUGAGCCUUAUGCAUGAUUUUAUUUGCAUUAUUAUGCUUUUAAAACAGGUACAGACGUUCGUUUUGUGAUCCUCCGGUAUAAGAUACAUAUUCUGCCACUUGGAGUACUCCUUUUUUAUCCGGAGCUCAUAUUUUGGUACAUAUCUUCUGUUAUGCAUAUUCUGUAUAUAUGUGACUAUUUGGGUACGGCGGGGCCCUGUCCCGUCAUAUGUUUCUGUUAUGGUUUGUAGAGGUCUGUAGUCAUAUAUAUGGGUCAUGGGUCAUGUUUGUUCGUUUGUGAUUAUGAUCUGAGUCUUAAUGCGGCCUCGUUUGCUAUUAUGGCCAAAACGGCUCAUUUGUCUGUAUAUGUGUAUAUAUCUGGCGAUGUGUAUUCCGCCAAUCUAUCGGAUUUGGAUAUGAUGUUUCUGUACGGGCGACCGCUUAAGACGAUAUUUGC